rnacentral:rRNA from 1 species
AACGAACGCUGGCGGCAGGCCUAACACAUGCAAGUCGAACGCCCCUUCGGGGGAGUGGCAGACGGGUGAGUAACGCGUGGGAACCUUCCCUUCGGUACGGAAUAGCUCCGGGAAACUGGAAUUAAUACCGUAUACGUCCUCCGGGAGAAAGAUUUAUCGCCGAAGGAUGGGCCCGCGUCGGAUUAGCUAGUUGGUAGGGUAACGGCCUACCAAGGCAACGAUCCGUAGCUGGUCUUAGAGGAUGAUCAGCCACACUGGGACUGAGACACGGCCCAGACUCCUACGGGAGGCAGCAGUGGGGAAUAUUGGACAAUGGGCGAAAGCCUGAUCCAGCCAUGCCGCGUGAGUGACGAAGGCCUUAGGGUUGUAAAACUCUUUUGGCAGGGACGAUAAUGACGGUACCUGCAGAAUAAGCCCCGGCUAACUCCGUGCCAAC